AUGAACGCUGGCGGCGUGCCUAAUACAUGCAAGUCGAGCGAACGGACGAGAAGCUUGCUUCUCUGAUGUUAGCGGCGGACGGGUGAGUAACACGUGGAUAACCUACCUAUAAGACUGGGAUAACUUCGGGAAACCGGAGCUAAUACCGGAUAAUAUUUUGAACCGCAUGGUUCAAAAGUGAAAGACGGUCUUGCUGUCACUUAUAGAUGGAUCCGCGCUGCAUUAGCUAGUUGGUAAGGUAACGGCUUACCAAGGCAACGAUGCAUAGCCGACCUGAGAGGGGGAUCGGCCACACUGGAACUGAGACACGGUCCAGACUCCUACGGGAGGCAGCAGUAGGGAAUCUUCCGCAAUGGGCGAAAGCCUGACGGAGCAACGCCGCGUGAGUGAUGAAGGUCUUCGGAGCGUAAAACUCUGUUAUUAGGGAAGAACAUAUGUGUAAGUAACUGUGCACAUCUUGACGGUACCUAAUCAGAAAGCCACGGCUAACUACGUG
rnacentral:rRNA from 1 species